AGUCGAGCGGAUGAAGAGAGCUUGCUCUCUGAUUCAGCGGCGGACGGGUGAGUAAUGCCUAGGAAUCUGCCUGGUAGUGGGGGACAACGUCUCGAAAGGGACGCUAAUACCGCAUACGUCCUACGGGAGAAAGCAGGGGACCUUCGGGCCUUGCGCUAUCAGAUGAGCCUAGGUCGGAUUAGCUAGUUGGUGAGGUAAUGGCUCACCAAGGCGACGAUCCGUAACUGGUCUGAGAGGAUGAUCAGUCACACUGGAACUGAGACACGGUCCAGACUCCUACGGGAGGCAGCAGUGGGGAAUAUUGGACAAUGGGCGAAAGCCUGAUCCAGCCAUGCCGCGUGUGUGAAGAAGGUCUUCGGAUUGUAAAGCACUUUAAGUUGGGAGGAAGGGCAGUUACCUAAUACGUGAUUGUUUUGACGUUACCGACAGAAUAAGCACCGGCUAACUCUGUGCCAGCAGCCGCGGUAAUACAGAGGGUGCAAGCGUUAAUCGGAAUUACUGGGCGUAAAGCGCGCGUAGGUGGUUUGUUAAGUUGGAUGUGAAAUCCCCGGGCUCAACCUGGGAACUGCAUCCAAAACUGGCAAGCUAGAGUAUGGUAGAGGGUGGUGGAAUUUCCUGUGUAGCGGUGAAAUGCGUAGAUAUAGGAAGGAACACCAGUGGCGAAGGCGACCACCUGGACUGAUACUGACACCGAGGUGCGAAAGCGUGGGGAGCAAACAGGAUUAGAUACCCUGGUAGUCCACGCCGUAAACGAUGUCAACUAGCCGUUGGGAGCCUUGAGCUCUUAGUGGCGCAGCUAACGCAUUAAGUUGACCGCCUGGGGAGUACGGCCGCAAGGUUAAAACUCAAAUGAAUUGAC
rnacentral:rRNA from 1 species